rnacentral:rRNA from 1 species
AAUCAACGCUGGCGGCGCGCUUAACACAUGCAAGUCGCACGAGAAAGCAGUAGCAAUACUGUGAGUACAGUGGCGUACGGGUGAGUAACACGUGGAUUAUCUACCUUCUAGUGGGGAAUA